UCUGGAAUCUGGAAAAGGAUGGAAAAUUUUCUGUUUUUUCUUAUUACAAAUAUUUAAGUGGCAAGGGAGAUGAAAUCAGAAAGGAGUUUCCGGCAAAGCUCAAUCUGGAAGACAAAAAUUCCUCCCUGAAUUGCUUUCUUUGUGUGGGAGGCAUGCUGGGAAAAAAAUUCUAACUUUGGACAGAUUGAAAAACAAGAGCAGGAUCAU
rnacentral:lncRNA from 1 species